rnacentral:rRNA from 1 species
AACGAACGCUGGCGGCAGGCUUAACACAUGCAAGUCGAGCGCCCCGCAAGGGGAGCGGCAGCCGGGUGAGUAACGCGUGGGAACGUACCUUUUGGUUCGGAACAACUCCGGGAAACUGGAGCUAAUACCGGAUAAGCCCUAACGGGGAAAGAUUUAUCGCCGAACGAUCGGCCCGCGUCUGAUUAGCUAGUUGGUGAGGUAACGGCUCACCAAGGCGACGAUCAGUAGCUGGUCUGAGAGGAUGAUCAGCCACACUGGGACUGAGACACGGCCCAGACUCCUACGGGAGGCAGCAGUGGGGAAUAUUGGACAAUGGGCGCAAGCCUGAUCCAGCCAUGCCGCGUGAGUGAUGAAGGCCUUAGGGUUGUAAAGCUCUUUUGUCCGGGAAGAUAAUGACUGUACCGGAAGAAUAAGCCCCGGCUAACUUCGUG